CAUGGGGGCAGAAGGCAGAGCAAAGUCAUUGGCGGGCCUCGCCGUCACAUGAUCAAGACCUGGCCAGUCAGAGCAUCCUGCUCCCCUGACUGCAGUGAUUGGCCCGGGGCUGCACGUGGGACCCAGGCUGGUGCGGUGGCGGCAGCCGCAGGAGUCUGGCCUGAGCGUCGGGAGGGACGCCCCUCCUGCCGGGUGGCCGCCACGGAGGCCUGCCCUGCCACUCCAGGAGGACGUCAGCCCGAGAGCGAAGCUGACAGAGAGGCAAGGCGAGCCCAGAGCUGGGGCGGGAGUCCGCCAGAGCCCUCAGCGUCCCAGGAUGGAGCUGAGCUUCAUGCGAAUUCUCUUUUCCCGCUGAGCCAGCCUGAGCGUCCCUGUCUCAGCUGAUGGCAAGUGCCCAAGAUGUUGGGAGAGAAGGGCCCUAACCAAGACGCCAGGGACAAUUGAGAGCUAAGAUGGUUCCCACUGGAAAACUGUUAUCUGCAACACCUGUUGAAAACCACUGCCAUCAAGGCAGGGGCCAAGAGAACCAGCACGAUGGGUGUGGAGGCUUGAAGUCCAGCCUGGAUGGACCCCAGAAAUCAGAGACUCUGACGUUUUCCCCAAGGUCGCACAGCUCUCAAGAGCAGACGUGGAGUUGACCCCAGGCACACCCUGACAGAUUCCAAAGCCAAGGCUUCCCAUCACCUUUUGUCACCGUCUUGGGUCAGAUAAAUAAAUUACUCCAAAACUGCCUCCUAAACUCUAGAAAGAGAAGCAAAGCCAGUGUGAAUAAACAUCGUCGUGUCUGUUCCAGCACCGGCAUUAA